GUUCAAUCUUAGCUAGAGGAAUUUCAGUAAACUUUCUGAAGUCAUUACACAUUAAUAGGUUCCCUGGAAAUUCUCCAGUGUUUCACUUUUCCAAGGUAGUCCUGUAGCUUCCUUCCCAAAAUUGCAACGGCUCCGGCUCCGUAGUGACCCCAUGUGUCGCCCUGGCAGUGUGAUGUGGCAAAGCUGGGGGUGCGGGGGGUGGACGGGAGGGUGGGGGAUGGGACUUGGAUUCUGGUUCCAGCAUUGUCUAAUCAGUCCAAUGUCCUCAACCAAGACGUUCUACUUCUGGAAUGUUCUUAUUUGACAAACAUGGCUGGCAAUGCCAUCCUUCACAGCCCUGACGUCAAGAAGCAGCCAAAGAAAUGCUAAGGCCCUAUGUUUACAGGCCUAAUACUCCUGGAUCCGGAGCUCAAAACUGUGAAGGCCGACUAGAGCAAAGCAAACAGCAGCGGAAGUAGGGCUGAUGCUUUUAUCUCAGUGGUAGAGUUUUCAGGAAGUAAGUAAAGAACAUUAACAAGGAGUUGCUGCACUUAGAACACCUACAAUAGUGGAUCCAACUGAGAAGCAACUGGUGACAUCAUGCCCUACUCCCUUGACAAUAGACACACAGCAGUACCUGGUUCCAAAAUAAGACAAUAAAAGCUCCUGGUGUGUUGUGGGA
rnacentral:lncRNA from 1 species